rnacentral:rRNA from 1 species
AGAGUUUGAUCCUGGCUCAGAUUGAACGCUGGCGGCAGGCCUAACACAUGCAAGUCGAGCGGUAACAGAACUAGCUUGCUAGUUGCUGACGAGCGGCGGACGGGUGCGUAACACGUAGGAAUCUACCCAGUAGCGGGGGAUAGCCCGGAGAAAUCCGGAUUAAUACCGCAUACGCCUUACGAGGGAAAGCAGGGGCUUCUUCGGAACCUUGCACUAUUGGAUGAGCCUGCGUCGGAUUAGCUAGUUGGUGGGGUAAAGGCCUACCAAGGCCACGAUCCGUUGCUGGUCUGAGAGGAUGAUCAGCCACACUGGGACUGAGACACGGCCCAGACUCCUACGGGAGGCAGCAGUGGGGAAUAUUGCACAAUGGGCGCAAGCCUGAUGCAGCCAUGCCGCGUGUGUGAAGAAGGCUCUAGGGUUGUAAAGCACUUUCAGCGAGGAGGAAAGGUUGACGAUUAAUACUCGUCAGCUGUGACGUUACUCGCAGAAGAAGCACCGGCUAACUCCGUGCCAGCAGCCGCGGUAAUACGGAGGGUGCGAGCGU